rnacentral:rRNA from 1 species
AUGCCGCCGGAUCCGGGAACAGGGCAUCACACCCUGCAGCUGCCGUUCGGGUCGAGCGCGGCGGCGGCGAACGCCGGUGCUCCUCUGCUUCCUCGACCUCCAAGGACGCAGGCCCCGGAUUCGUGCUCGCCUUCUUCCUCCACCAACCUUGGUGCCCAACUCCCUACAGCCGCCGUCGCCGUCGCCGUCGUGGACUCCCAGGCAAGGAGCAUGAGGACCGAGCUCGAGCGCGACCACGACGCAGCGCACAAGGUCCCUGUUUCCUGCACAAGUAUACACAUCACCUUGCUUGGUUGGGGAGCAGCAACAUCAAGGCUGUUGUACAAACAGCAAUAUCAAGACGUUGAACAAAUAGCAACAUCAGUUGCUGAUAGCGUACUGAGGUGUUUCAGCACCAACGCUUGGAUGACCAACGAGGAACAAGCUAUGGCGGUGGCUGCCGAUUUGCCGCCUCAACAAGGUCUCGUUCCUCCCUGGUUUGCACAAGCUUCGUCAGGCAACUGCAGAUCCCGUACGACCAUGGCCCACACCCCUGAAGCUUCCCCUGUCCGCAACAACUUCUGGAUCAAAGGAUUGUUGCUUAAUCCCGGGCUGCUCUACCUUCAAGGAAAAGGGGUCCUCCUUGAGAUCAUACAGAUGGUGCAAGGACAAUGUUAA